rnacentral:rRNA from 1 species
UACGUAGGGACCAAGCGUUGUUCGGAUUUACUGGGCGUAAAGGGCGCGUAGGCGGCGCUGUAAGUCACUUGUGAAAUCUCCGGGCUUAACUCGGAACGGUCAAGUGAUACUGCAGUGCUAGAGUGCAGAAGGGGCAACUGGAAUUCUCGGUGUAGCGGUGAAAUGCGUAGAUAUCGAGAGGAACACCUGCGGUGAAGGCGGGUUGCUGGGCUGACACUGACGCUGAUGCGCGAAAGCUAGGGGAGCGAACGGG